UGUGGUAAAAUUCUUUAUUGAACAAUGAUAUCAAGUAGCAAAAAACAAAUCACAAGUACUUUCCAUUCAUAAUUUAACAAAAAAUAUUGAUGUUCAUUAACACUCAUUUAUAAAAGUGAGUAAUCUACAAUCUUUUCCCAUGUUUGUUGAAGAUUCCCAACUGGUUAGCUAUUGGCUGCUGCUCCGCGCUGUAAGCCACGCCUCCUUUUCCACGCCACGCUAACACUGUUAGCACCCUCACACUGUUUGUGGAGUUAGCGCCGUUAGCUUCUAGCUGUAAGCUCAGCUUUGUCGAGAAAAAAUGUUCUGAAUUACAUUUGAUAAUUAAUAAUUAAUUCACUAUAUCUUUUAAUUAAAUUGAUUAGCAUGCAGGAACUAAGGCACGUUCAACAUUUAUUGAAAUGCACCAGCUGGACUUUGACGACAUCCAAAUGAGUCUUCUUGUAGCCUUCGUGCAGUCCGAUGUAGAAAGUACAACUGGAAAAACUCUGCUCCUGUGAUUUUUCAGUAAUACCAAACCAACAGAAGCAGAUAUCCUCCAUUACAAGCUUAACAGAGAGGUUACCACUCCAAGAGGAUGUGUGGGACGUGAGUUCUUUGCUUCGGCAGCACUGGAGAACGCCCUCGAUGGGCCUUUGUGUAGAAAGUGUAAAGAAAUAAUUACGUCCUUGGAGGGAAAAAGUACUUAUAGGCAGGCUAUACUGCUGCAGACACAGAAAGCUGAAUUUACAGUGCUAUGGCAACGCUAGCCAUGUUCGCACUGAAUUAUAGGGCAAAAUCACAAAUUUGCCUCGGAGGGCUUUACAUAUUUGGCUCUGAAGUUGGCGCCAUAAGUUACGUUUGGCUGUAAUCUGCCAGCAAACAGCCAGCUCGUCAACUCUUAUUCAGACAGAAUCAUAAACAACGCAAAAACAAUUUCCCGCCAUUGAGGAAGUCCUCGACUCUUGUCCAUUGCGAUAUGUCAAAACAGGCGCGCAAACAUGUGAAUUGAAACACGGCCUUUAAUGUCCUGUUGUGUGGCGACGGCACGGGUUGUUUCUAGAGGGCCUAACUCCGGUUCCUGCUGAACUGAGCCAGUGUUUGUUUAACAUCUAACUGUUAUCAGCUCAGUAGGCACAGGAGGUUGAGCCCAGGUACCUGCACCACCUGCACCACCUGCACCACCUCACCUUCACCACAACGGCAGGCAAAUGCCAGAUAAGGGUAUCGUUUCACAAGUAAAAAGGGUUACACAAUGCACAUAAUGAUCCAGAUCUCUAUACAUACAGGUAUAUUUGAAUUGAUAGAUGGAUGGAUUGAAGGACAUGAACAAUAUUAAGUCACAACAUGCAGUAAAUAAAAUAGAAAUCAAAUCAAUGCAGGAAUAAAGUCAAGGGAAUGAGAACAAACAAUAUAAUCCUAAACAUUAAAACAGACAUGUAAUUGAAAUCAAACUGAACAUGUACAUUAUUCUGGUCUUUAUUGAACCAAGUUAGCAGCAUUGUGUGGUCCUUUUUCCGCCUACACGUGGAUAGCUGCGUGCACACAUGGAUACGCGCGCAAUCAGGGCUUUGCUUUGACGACCACCCAGACUCCGAAUGAGCUCACGGAUCACAAUUACGUCGCUACUUGUUUCCCUGAUGGGACAUUUCCUGUACUUCCUUCCUGCACGAGCGAGCCCUCCCCUCGCUGCCUAUACUUCUCUCACCCAUCGCUCUUUCUCAUCAAGAUCCUCGUCUUAUUCUUCCCUCACACUGAAGCUAUUGUGCACUUUUUUCCCUCCGUCUGUCGAGGAGGGACAACAUAGACGGUCACAGAACAAAGAAAGGACAUUCCUCGAGCCCGUUACACAACAUUACAUUGGCUACUGUACAUCUGACAUAACGGAUUCUUGUUCCUAUGACAUAAAUGGGUUGCUGGGAACACAUUUGCCACGAUAUAAAGUAUUUAUAUAUUUAGAUAAAUAAACAACAGAUUAACAACGGAAACGACGGAAAAUUAAACGGCCAAAUCAAUGAAUUCUCACUGAAACCGCUCCUCAAGGAGACUUGUAAGCGGGUAAAUUCAACGGUGCAAGUUCAUCCACCACGUGGCAGCAAAUAGAAAACAGGACGCUUCCAUGUUGAUUCCUUGAGAGCUGGAAGGGCUUGUGAGGAGCGGAACUUAGCCACUGUGAACACAGGCUUUCACUGGACUGUUCAC
ensembl:lncRNA